GUUUUCCCAACUUCUAGGCUACAAAGAGAUGGCUUGCCAAACUUUUGUUUGCAGCUGUCAAGAAAAACAGCAAUUCAACGUAUUUCUUCAUGAGUUUAUUACAUAGGAAAGCUGGGAUAUGUCCCUGUAAUUAGCAGAAUCUUUAGGAGAAGCAUGUGUAUUGAGGCUUGCUGCUCCAGAUCAGUUCCAGGAAAUCAGCAAACGUGGGACCUGAAUUUCAACUCUGGCAAACAACGCAAAGCAAACAGCAAAGGGAAACCUCAUCCAAACAAUAAAAAUGGUUGGGCAAAAAAAUGAAGAGGAAACGUAGAAACGUUAUAAAGGCAUCUUUUUACAGCAAUGAAGCAGCAGAGGGCAUCACUAAGUCUUUCGUUCACCAUCUCAUUUGCAUGCAUUAAAGAGGCAUCCCCCACCCCAGACAUCAUUUACAGGGCAGUAGAUUCUGCAAGCACCUGGUCUGUGUGCACACUGGAGAGCAUCAUAGACAUUCUUGCAGCCUGCACAUGGCAAACAUCGUGUACUGCGACGAGAGGGGGUAGUUUUAGCCUCUUCUGGAGCACACCAUGAUGUCUUCUCUCACGGAAUACUCCAGAGAAAAGAAUGAAAUGAAGGCACUGACAGGGAAAUGACAGCUCUCCAGCUGAAGCCACGGGGAAUAUCUCAGCUCUCAGACAAGAUCCAACUUAGUUCUUCAUCAGACUAAAGCACUCAGCUUUCUAAUACUGUAAACUUACAUUUAAAUUGCAAUAA